GACGAACGCUGGCGGCGUGCUUAACACAUGCAAGUCGAACGGAAAGGCCUGCUUUCCCUUGUGGAUUGCGGGUACUCGAGUGGCGAACGGGUGAGUAACACGUGAGUGAUCUGCCCCCAACUUGGGUAUAAGCCUGGGAAACUGGGUCUAAUUCCCGAUAGGACUGCAGGGUGGUGCCUGUGGUGGAAAACGAUUUUCUAGUGGUUGGGGAUGAGCUCGCGGCCUAUCAGCUUGUUGGUGGGGUAAUGGCCUACCAAGGCGGCGACGGGUAGCCGGCCUGGGAGGGUGGACGGCCACAUUGGGAAGGAGAUAAGGCCCAGAAUCCUACGGGAGGCAGGAGUGGGGAAUAUUGCACAAUGGGCGGAAGGCUGAUGCAGCGAAGCCGCGUGGGGGAUGACGGCCUUCGGGUUGUAAACUCCUUUCGACCGCGAGGAAGCCACCUGGUUGGAAGGGUGGUGACGGUAGUGGUAGAAGAAGCACCGGCUAACUACGUG
rnacentral:rRNA from 1 species